UGUGUGUGUGUGUGUGUGUGUGUGUGUGUACGUGCAUGCACACACACACACACACACACACU
rnacentral:miRNA from 1 species